rnacentral:rRNA from 1 species
UACGUAGGGGGCAAGCGUUGUCCGGAAUUAUUGGGCGUAAAGAGCGCGUAGGCGGUCCGGUAAGUCGGUUGUGAAAGUCGGGGGCUCAACCCUCGGAUGCCGAUCGAUACUGUCGGGCUAGAGUCCGGAAGAGGCGAGUGGAAUUCCUGGUGUAGAGGUGAAAUUCGUAGAUAUCGGGAGGAACACCAGUGGCGAAGGCGGAGACCUGGGCCGAUACUGACGCUGAGGUGCGAAAGCGUGGGGAGCAAACAGG